UACGUAGGGAGCGAGCGUUGUCCGGAUUCAUUGGGCGUAAAGAGCUCGUAGGCGGCUUGAUAAGUCGGAUGUGAAACCUCCAGGCUCAACCUGGAGUCGCCAUCCGAUACUGUCAUGGCUAGAGUCCGGUAGGGGCCCACGGAAUUCCUGGUGUAGCGGUGAAGUGCGCAGAUAUCAGGAGGAACACCGGUGGCGAAGGCGGUGGGCUGGGCCGGCACUGACGCUGAGGAGCGAAAGCGUGGGGAGCGAACAGG
rnacentral:rRNA from 1 species